rnacentral:snRNA from 11 species
AAACUUACUUGGCGCCGGGACCAGGGUGAUCACGAAUGCUCUGGCCCCAGGUGGAGGCUCGCCAUUGC